GUGGGGAAUCUUCCGCAAUGGACGAAAGUCUGACGGAGCAACGCCGCGUGAGUGAUGAAGGUCUUCGGACUGUAAAGCUCUGUUGUUUGGGACGAAAGUGCCUGUUGCGAACAGUUACGGGUAUUGACGGUACUAAACGAGGAAGCCACGGCUAACUACGUGCCAGCAGCCGCGGUAAUACGUAGGUGGCAAGCGUUGUCGGGAAUUAUUGGGCGUACAGAGCAGGUAGGCGGGAAUCUAAGUCUGUUGUUAAAAUGCGGGGCUCAACCCCGUAUUGCGAUGGAAACUGGGUUUCUUGAGUGCAGGAGAGGAAAGGGGAAUUCCCAGUGUAGCGGUGAAAUGCGUAGAUAUUGGGAGGAACACCAGUGGCGAAGGCGCCUUUCUGGACUGUGUCUGACGCUGAGAUGCGAAAGCCAGGGUAGCGAACGGGAUUAGAAACCCCGGUAGUCC
rnacentral:rRNA from 1 species